GAUGAACGCUAGCGGCAGGCUUAAUACAUGCAAGUCAAGGGGGUAGCAAUACAACCGGCGCACGGGUGAGUAACGCGUACACAACAUACCAUAUACUGGAGUAUAGCUUUGGGAAACUGAAGGUAAUCCUCCAUAACAUUGCGAGAGGGCAUCUGAUUGCAAUUAAAGUUUCGGCGGUAUAUGAUUGGUGUGCGUUUGAUUAGCUAGUUGGUAGGGUAACGGCCUACCAAGGCGACGAUCAAUAGCUGGCGUGAGAGCGCGACCAGCCACACUGGAACUGAGACACGGUCCAGACUCCUACGGGAGCAGCAGUAGGGAAUAUUGGACAAUGGAGGAAACUCUGAUCCAGCCAUGCCGCGUGAUAGAUGAAGGCCCUCUGGGUUGUAAAUAUCUUUUUAUCUGGGAAGAAACACUCCUAUUCUUAGGAACUUGACGGUACCAGAGGAAUAAGCACCGGCUAACUCCGUGCCAGCAGCCG
rnacentral:rRNA from 1 species